rnacentral:rRNA from 1 species
AGAGCGAACGCUGGCGGCAGGCCUAACACAUGCAAGUCGAGCGCCCGUAGCAAUACGGGAGCGGCAGACGGGAGAGUAACACGUGGGAACGCGCCCUUCGGUUCGGAAUAACUCAGGGAAACUUGAGCUAAAUACCGGAUACGCCCUUACGGGGAAAGAUUUAUUGCCGAAGGAACGGCCCGCGUCCGAUUAGCUUGUGGUGAGGUAACGGCUCACCAAGGCGACGAUCGGUAGCUGGUCUGAGAGGAUGACCAGCCUCACUGGGACUGAGACACGGCCCAGACUCCUACGGGAGGCAGCAGUGGGGAAUAUUGGACAAUGGGCGCAAGCCUGAUCCAGCCAUGCCGCGUGGAUGAUGAAGGCCCUAGGGUUGUAAAGUCCUUUUAACGGGGAAGAUAAUGACGGUACCCGUAGAAUAAGCCCCGGCUAACUUCGUGCCAGCAGCCGC